UAGGGAAUCUUCGGCAAUGGGGGGAACCCUGACCGAGCAACGCCGCGUGAGUGAAGAAGGUUUUCGGAUCGUAAAGCUCUGUUGUUAAGGAAGAACGAGUGUGAGAAUGGAAAGUUCAUGCUGUGACGGUACUUAACCAGAAAGGGACGGCUAACUACGUGCCAGCAGCCGCGGUAAUACGUAGGUCCCGAGCGUUGUCCGGAUUUAUUGGGGGUAAAGCGAGCGCAGGAGGUUAGAAAAGUCUGAAGUGAAAGGCAGGGGCUCAACCAUUGUAGGCUUUGGAAACUGUUUAACUUGAGUGCAGAAGGGGAGGGUGGAAUUCCAGGUGUAGCGGUGAAAUGCGUAGAUAUAUGGAGGAACACCGGUGGCGAAAGCGGCUCUCUGGUCUGUAACUGACGCUGAGGCUCGAAAGCGUGGGGAGCGAACAGG
rnacentral:rRNA from 1 species